GAUGAACGCUGGCGGCAUGCUUAACACAUGCCAGUCGGACGGGAAGUGGUGUUUCCAGUGUCGGACGGGUGAGUAACGCGUAAGAACCUGCCCUUGGGAUGGGAACAACAACUGGAUACGGUUGCUAAUACCCCGUAGGCUGAGGAGCAGAAGUAGGGAUCAGCCAGAGGAGUGGCUUGCGUCUGAUUAGCUAGUUGGUGAUGUAAUAGCUUACCAAGGAGAUGAUUUGUAGCUGUUCCGAGAGGAUGAUCAGCCACACUGCGACGGAGACACGGAGCAGGGAACUAUGGGAGACAGGAGUGGGGAAUAUUCAGCAAUGGGCGAAAGGUUGAGGGAGCAAUGCGGCGUGGAAGUAGAAGGACUAGGGAUCGAGAACUUCUUUUCUAGGAGAAGAAACAUUGACGGUAUCUGAGGAAUAAGCAUCGGCUAACUCUGUG
rnacentral:rRNA from 1 species